AGAGUUUCUUUCUGGCUCAGGAUGAACGCUGGCGGCGUGCCUAACACAUGCAAGUCGAGCGAUGAAGUUUUCUUCGGGAAACGGAUUAGCGGCGGACGGGUGAGUAACACGUGGGUAACCUGCCUCAUAGAGGGGAAUAGCCUUCCGAAAGGAAGAUUAAUACCGCAUAAUAUUAUCGAGUGGCAUCACUUGGUAAUCAAAGGAGCAAUCCGCUAUGAGAUGGACCCGCGUCGCAUUAGUUGGUUGGUGGGGUAGCGGCCUACCAAGACGACGAUGCGUAGCCGACCUGAGAGGGUGAUCGGCCACAUUGGGACUGAGACACGGCCCAGACUCCUACGGGAGGCAGCAGUGGGGAAUAUUGCACAAUGGAGGAAACUCUGAUGCAGCAACGCCGCGUGAGCGAUGAAGGUCUUCGGAUCGUAAAGCUCUGUCUUUAGGGAUGAUAAUGACAGUACCUAAGGAGGAAGCCACGGCUAACUACGUGCCAGCAGCCGCGGUAAUACGUAGGUGGCGAGCGUUAUCCGGAUUUAUUGGGCGUAAAGGGAGCGUAGGCGGAUACUUAAGUGGGAUGUGAAAUACUUGGGCUCAACCCGAGUACUGCAUUCCAAACUGAGUAUCUAGAGUGCAGGAGAGGAGAGUGGAAUUCCUAGUGUAGCGGUGAAAUGCGUAGAGAUUAGGAAGAACACCAGUGGCGAAGGCGACUCUCUGGACUGUAACUGACGCUGAGGCUCGAAAGCGUGGGGGAGCGAACCAGAUUAGAUACCGUGGUAGUCCACGCCGUAAACGAUGAAUACUAGGUGUAGGGGUUUCGAUACCUCCUUGCCGCCGCUAACGCAUUAAGUAAUCCGCGUGGGGAGGGCGGUCGCAAGAGUAAAACUCAAAGGAAUUGACGGGGACCCGCACAAGCUCCGGAGCAUGGGGUUUAAUUCGAAGCAACGCGAAGAACCUAUACCCACACUUGACAUCCCAUGCAUAACCCUUCAUCGGGGAAAUCUGUUCGGAGUCAAGGCGACAGGUGGUGCAUGGUCGUCGUCAGCUUGAGUGGUGAGAUGGAGGGGUAAGUCCCGCACCGAGCGCAUCCCCUCGUGUGAGGUGCGACCCAUAAGUGGAGCAGUCUAGCCAGGCUUCCUGGGUGGAACGGGGGCAAGGAGGGGAAGGCGUCAAAUCAUCAUGCCCUCAAUCAGUAGGCACCCCCGCGUGCUCCAAUGGCGCAUACAAAGAGAAGCGACCUCGGGAGAGCGAGC
rnacentral:rRNA from 1 species